rnacentral:rRNA from 1 species
GAUGAACGCUGGCGGCGUGCCUAACACAUGCAAGUCGAGCGAUUCUCUUCGGAGAAGAGCGGCGGACGGGUGAGUAACGCGUGGGUAACCUGCCCUGUACACACGGAUAACAUACCGAAAGGUAUGCUAAUACGAGAUAAUAUACUUUUAUCGCAUGGUAGAAGUAUCAAAGCUUUUGCGGUACAGGAUGGACCCGCGUCUGAUUAGCUAGUUGGUAAGGUAACGGCUUACCAAGGCGACGAUCAGUAGCCGACCUGAGAGGGUGAUCGGCCACAUUGGAACUGAGACACGGUCCAAACUCCUACGGGAGGCAGCAGUGGGGAAUAUUGCACAAUGGGCGAAAGCCUGAUGCAGCAACGCCGCGUGAGCGAUGAAGGCCUUGGUCGUAAAGCUCUGUCCUCAAGGAAGGAU